GGGUGUAUGGACUGAGGCGAAGCCUGAUCCAGCCAUGCCGCGUGUGUGAAGAAGGUCUUCGGAUUGUAAAGCACUUUAAGUUGGGAGGAAGGGCAUUAACCUAAUACGUUGGUGUUUUGACGUUACCGACAGAAUAAGCACCGGCUAACUCUGUGCCAGCAGCCGCGGUAA
rnacentral:rRNA from 1 species